rnacentral:rRNA from 1 species
CGCGAAACCUUUACACUGCACGACAGUGCGAUAGGGGAACUCCGAGUGCGAGGGCAUAGAGCCCUCGCUUUUCUGCACCGUAAGGUGGUGCAGGAACAAGUGCUGGGCAAGACCGGUGCCAGCCGCCGCGGUAAUACCGGCAGCACGAGUGAUGGCCGAUCUUAUUGGGCCUAAAGCGUCCGUAGCUGGCCGUGCAAGUCCGUCGGGAAAUCCAGUGGCUCAACCUCUGGGCUUCCGGCGGAAACUGCUCGGCUUGGGACCGGAAGACUCGAGGGGUACGUUCGGGGUAGGAGUGAAAUCCCGUAAUCCUGAACGGACCACCGAUGGCGAAAGCACCUCGAGAGCACGGAUCCGACAGUGAGGGACGAAAGCUAGGGUCUCGAACCGGAUUAGAUACCCGGGUAGUCCUAGCUGUUAACGAUGCCCGCUCGGUUCGGCGCAGGCUACGAGCCUGUGCCGCGCCUCAGUGAAGACGUAAGCGGGCCACCUGGGAAGUACGUCCGCAAGGAUGAAACUUAAAGGAAUUGGCGGGGGAGCACUACAACCGGAGGAGCCUGCGGUUUAAUUG